UUUGAUUACUUUACGCAGACUAAUUGAGAGCUUGAACCGUCCAUUUUAGCUUUCGCCCAGAAAAAAACAAAGAAACUCUCUCUCUCUCAGCCUCACAAGCAGCUAUCGCUAAAUGCUAAGCCCAAAUUUGAAUUUGGAUCCUCUCGACAAUUUUUAAUUUUUAAUUUUUAAUUUUUUUUUCUUCGCACAUGGCAUUUAGUUUAGCAAAAUAGUGGGUCUCAUUGGUGCCACGUCAUCAUUUUUAAAGGAAUUUUUAACAGACUUGACAGUGAUGGGCAAUGUGAGACACAAAACAUUGGUCAAGAGGACGAAGUUGGUCACUUUAACUUUAAGGGGAUUUAGUGGGACUUGACCAAUGUUUCAAGAGGCACUGUAGCACUUAAACCUAAAAGUUAAGUUUUACUUAUAGAAAAAUAGGGUGAUGAACAUUUCUACCCUUCACCAAU
rnacentral:lncRNA from 1 species